CGGCGAGUGAAGCGGCAAGAGCUCAAAUUUGAAAGCUGACUCCUUCGGGGUCCGCAUUGUAAUUUGCAGAGGAUGCUUCGGGAGCGGUCCCCAUCUAAGUGCCCUGGAACGGGACGUCAUAGAGGGUGAGAAUCCCGUAUGGGAUGGGGUGUCCGCGCCCGUGUGAAGCUCCUUCGACGAGUCGAGUUGUUUGGGAAUGCAGCUCUAAAUGGGUGGUAAAUUUCAUCUAAAGCUAAAUAUUGGCCGGAGACCGAUAGCGCACAAGUAGAGUGAUCGAAAGAUGAAAAGCACUUUGAAAAGAGAGUUAAAAAGCACGUGAAAUUGUUGAAAGGGAAGCGCUUGCGACCAGACUCGCUCGCGGGGUUCAGCCGGCAUUCGUGCCGGUGUACUUCCCCGCGAGCGGGCCAGCGUCGGUUUGGGCGGUCGGUCAAAGGCCCUCGGAAGGUAACGCCCCUAGGGGCGUCUUAUAGCCGAGGGUGCAAUGCGACCUGCCUAGACCGAGGAACGCGCUUCGGCUCGGACGCUGGCAUAAUGGUCGUAAGCGACCCGUCUUGAAACACGGACCAAGGAGUCUAACAUCUACGCGAGUGUUCGGGUGUCAAACCCGUGCGCGCAGUGAAAGCGAACGGAGGUGGGAACCCUUUGGGUGCACCAUCGACCGAUCCUGAUGUCUUCGGAUGGAUUUGAGUAAGAGCGUA
rnacentral:rRNA from 1 species